AUCGCCCAAAGCAUCUGAUGCGCAGGUCGCGGAGGGAGUUAACAGCGAAAGAAGCAGGAGUGGGCAGGCACUCCCAGACUGGCUGGGAAGGCAGCACUCAAAGGAAAUCCAGGGAACCUGGAUCCAGAGCAACCUCGGUCUCAGGCCAGCAUACAUCUGGUGACAGAUGCAGAGCAGGCCAGAGUGCCCGGAUGGUGUGAGACAACAGCGUGGCUCCGUGUUUCCCACACACAGAGCUCCGAGACCACAGCGGUGACAAAAGAGAAGUCCUUUGAAGAGUCCCUGCUCCCCAUGGCUCCAAAGCUGCCUGCUGUGAAGGAGUAGAGAGAGACAGAGCACAAGUUGGGGAGGG